rnacentral:rRNA from 1 species
UACGUAGGUGGCAAGCGUUUGUCCGGAUUUAUUGGGUUUAAAGGGUGCGUAGGCGGAUGCUUAAGUCAGAGGUGAAAGACGGCCGCUCAACGGUCGCAGUGCCUUUGAUACUGGGUAUCUUGAGUGCAGACGAGGUCUGUGGAAUGGAUGGUGUAGCGGUGAAAUGCUUAGAUACCAUCCAGAACACCAAUUGCGAAGGCAGCAGACUAGGGUGCAACUGACGCUGAGGCACGAAAAGUGCGGGGAGCAAACAGG